GGGCGAUUGUGAUGAAUCUGUGAGGAGAUAUGUUUACAACCCCAGGACUGGGAGAUGCCAGAUGUUUCGUUACAGCGGCUGCGGAGGCAACAAAAACAACUUUGUCCACAAAAGACACUGCAUGAAAAUGUGCACGAAAGAUCACAGCCGGAGGAAGCAAAUACGGAUAAAGACAAAAAACUCUAAUAUCUUAUUCCGAUCUAUCUAGGACAAUACCAAAUCCUAAACCACUAUAUAAAGAGGAAAUAAGAAAAAAUAAGAAACAGCAGCAUAUAGUACCUCUCUGGCCCAGAAACUGUUCUCAUGUAUAUAAUUAUCACAGUUAAUGGAAUUUUAAUCUGGCCUUCAUAUAUAUAUAUAUAUAUAUAUAUAUAUAAGACAUAUCUACAUAUAUAUAUAUAUAA